rnacentral:rRNA from 1 species
GACGAACGCUGGCGGCGUGCUUAACACAUGCAAGUCGAACGGUAAGGCCUUUCGGGGUACUCGAGCGGCGAACGGGUGAGUAACACGUGGGUGAUCUGCCCUGCACUUCGGGAUAAGCCUGGGAAACUGGGUCUAAUACCGGAUAUGACCUCCUAUCGCAUGGUGGGUGGUGGAAAGAUUUAUCGGUGCAGGAUGGGCCCGCGGCCUAUCAGCUUGUUGGUGGGGUAAUGGCCUACCAAGGCGACGACGGGUAGCCGACCUGAGAGGGUGACCGGCCACACUGGGACUGAGAUACGGCCCAGACUCCUACGGGAGGCAGCAGUGGGGAAUAUUGCACAAUGGGCGAAAGCCUGAUGCAGCGACGCCGCGUGAGGGAUGACGGCCUUCGGGUUGUAAACCUCUUUCAGCAGGGACGAAGCGCAAGUGACGGUAUCUGCAGAAGAAGCACCGGCUAACUACGUG